rnacentral:misc_RNA from 1 species
UUUCCGUAGGUGAACCUGCGGAAGGAUCAUUACAGAGUUCAUGCCCUCACGGGUAGAUCUCCCACCCUUGAAUAUUUAUACCUUAGUUGCUUUGGCAGGCCGUGGAAACACCAUGGGCUCCGGCUUAUGCGUGCCUGCCAGAGGAAACAAACUCUGUUUUUAGUGGUGUCUGAGUACUAUAUAAUAGUUAAAACUUUCAACAACGGAUCUCUUGGUUCUG